rnacentral:sRNA from 1 species
GGAUGAGAACCUCCGGGGGCAGGGAGGUUCGACUCGAGCGAAGCGAGAGAACGUUGCGCCAGCAACGGCCCGCAGGGCGAGCCACGAAGUGGCGAGUAAUCCUCUAUCACCGACCA